rnacentral:lncRNA from 1 species
GGGCAACAGUGUGCAGAUAUGUCAUUGAGUCUCAGCAAGGCAGUAGCAGACCCGUGAGAUUCAGGCAGAUUUCUGGCUGGAAGUCUCAAGUUGAGCUCCUUGUGUUCAUGCAGGGUUGAAGUCUGCAAGGUUCUACUGCAGGUUCCAGCUUCCCUUCCCCUGAAGAUAGUCCAGGUUCCAAUGGGAGGUGAUGAUCCCUCCAACUCACCAAGCACGGUGAUCUGAGGAAGAUACACCGAAGACACUGAGGUUACCUUCAAAAGAGCAGAUGGAUUAAUUCAGAGAAGGGAGAAUAAUGAUUGUGGUGAUGGAGGAGUGAGUUAUGAGAAAUGAUUAAAGAUGAAGAUUAUGUCUGGAGUUGCUAAGUAAUGGCUGAGGGGGGACUAAUAAUUGACUGCAAAAAUCUGACAGGAGAAAUACUG